rnacentral:tRNA from 1 species
GGGGAUGUAGCUCAGUGGUAGAGCACUUGCCUGGCAUGCA